CCUACGGGUGACAGCAGUAGGGAAUCUUUCACAAUGGGCGAAAGCCUGAUGGAGCAACGCCGCGUGCAGGAUGAAGGCCUUCGGGUUGUAAACUGCUUUUCUAAGCGAGAAAUAUGAUGGUAACUUAUGAAUAAGGAUCGGCUAACUACGUGCCAGCAGCCGCGGUCAUACGUAGGAUCCGAGCAUUAUCCGGAGUGACUGGGUGUAAAGAGUUGCGUAGGUGGCAUAAUAAGUAGCUAGUGAAAUCUGGUGGCUCAACCAUUCAGACUAUUAGCUAAACUGUUAAGCUCGAGACCGUUAGGGGUAACUGGAAUUUCUAGUGUAGGAGUGAAAUCCGUAGAUAUUAGAAGGAACACCAAUAGCGUAGGCAGGUUGCUGGGACGGUUCUGACACUAAGGCACGAAAGCGUAGGGAGCAAACGGGAUUAGAUACCCGAGUAGUC
rnacentral:rRNA from 1 species